UACUGUUAGUGAUUUUUAAAAUUAAACAGAUGGGAAUCUCUCUGAAAAAGACUGAAGAUUUUAAAAACCUGAAACAGUG
rnacentral:snoRNA from 1 species